rnacentral:lncRNA from 1 species
GACACAGCAGGGAUGCUGGGCUGGAUGCUCAAAAGAACCACAAGGAUCAUUUUAUGAAUCUGUGUCAGAGCCCUAUCCACGUCCUCUCCACCACAGGAGGACUCCCCAGCCUGGCCAGGGGCUGCUCACCUGGACAAGGGUUUCCAGGGCUGGAAAAAACACUAUGAUGCCUGCCUGCCUGCCUCAGACCACUAAAAAAUGGAUCCCUGGACUCUUGUUCUGCCUUUCACCUGAAAUAUAAUUCCCUAAGCUGGGGGAAGAAUGCAAGGGGAGCAGCUUUCUUAUUGCUUUUGCAUCUGGCUGCAAAGCUGUGGGACACAGAGGGAAUACACAGCAAGGACUGCUGCAGGUAUGUCUUGUUUCCUCAUCCUUCCUCCCUCCUCCCCACCCCCUUCCUCUGGUUUUGUUUUUAAUUUUUGGCAAUGCUGUUAACAAGCAGCCUCUGGGGAAUACAGAACCAGUGCUGUGGAAAAUAAGAGGAGAGGAAACUUCCAAGUAUUUGGGAGCCCAGCAUCCUCCUGGCCUUUGUGCAGCGCAACUCGGCAGCAUCAGCUCGGUGUGAAAGCUGGAUCCACCCUGAGACAACACAGGCUGCACAUCUGAGGACAUGUUCAUAAAGAAGAGAGGUGCUGCACCAAACUCCAGUGUUCUCACCUCUGGUCCACCACCCUUUCAGUUAAAUCAAGAGGCAUUUUUAUCCAGCUGUAACUGCACCUGAGUAGCUGUCCUCCUGUGCUACGAAAAUAAGACCUGAAAUUUGCCUGAUAAUGUUCUUUUCCUACAUUGUAGGUGAUCCUUCCAGUGAACUUGGCACAAGCUUUGCCCAAGUUGAAAACAAAAAACCAACUCCUG